rnacentral:rRNA from 1 species
GACGAACGCUGGCGGCGUGCUUAACACAUGCAAGUUGAACGGUAAGGCCCUUCGGGGUACACGAGUGGCGAACGGGUGAGUAACACGUGGGUGAUCUGCCCUGCACUUCGGGAUAAGCCUGGGAAACUGGGUCUAAUACCGGAUAGGACCACUGCCUGCAUGGGUGGUGGUGGAAAGCUUUUGCGGUGUGGGAUGGGCCCGCGGCCUAUCAGCUUGUUGGGGGGGUGAUGGCCUACCAAGGCGACGACGGGUAGCCGGCCUGAGAGGGUGACCGGCCACACUGGGACUGGGAUACGGCCCAGACUCCGACGGGAGGCAGCAGUGGGGAAUAUUGCACAAUGGGCGCAAGCCUGAUGCAGCGACGCCGCGUGAGGGAUGACGGCCUUCGGGUUGUAAACCUCUUUCAGCACCGACGAAGCGCAAGUGACGGUAGGUGCAGAAGAAGGACCGGCCAACUACGUGCCAGCAGCCGCCGUAA